rnacentral:rRNA from 1 species
UACGUAGGUGACCAGCGUUGUCCGGAUUUACUGGGCGUAAAGAGCGCGCAGGCGGUCGUUCAAGUCGGGUGUGAAAGCCCCCGGCUCAACUGGGGAGGGUCAUUCGAUACUGAUCGACUUGAAGGCAGGAGAGGGAAGUGGAAUUCCCGGUGUAGUGGUGAAAUGCGUAGAUAUCGGGAGGAACACCAGUGGCGAAGGCGACUUCCUGGCCUGUUCUUGACGCUGAGGCGCGAAAGCUAGGGGAGCAAACGGG